GAUGAACGCUAGCGGCAGGCUUAACACAUGCAAGUCGAGGGGUAAGUCCCGAUUCGUCGGGAACACGACCGGCGCACGGGUGAGUAACGCGUAUGUAACUUUCCUCUAACUGGGGGAUAGCCCGAAGAAAUUCGGAUUAAUACCCCAUAAUAUCAUAGGAUCGCAUGGUCUUAUGAUUAAAGCUCCGGCGGUUAGAGAUAGGCAUGCGUACCAUUAGCUUGUUGGUGAGGUAACUGCUCACCAAGGCUACGAUGGUUAGGGGAUCUGAGAGGAUGAUCCCCCACACUGGUACUGAGACACGGACCAGACUCCUACGGGAGGCUG
rnacentral:rRNA from 1 species